CAAGUUUUUACGUCUAGUCGAGAAGCUCAGUUUGUCUAAUCUGUAACUUUUCUUAAGGUUUCAAGGACAGAAAAUGAACAGGGAAGGAGAUUGGAUGUGUGCUUCAUGCCAGCACGUAAAUUUCAAGAAACGGGAUGGAUGCCAACGAUGUAGCUGUCCUAAAUAUGCAACGUCAGCUGACGUUGCAAUGUAUGGACUAAACAAAACAGAUGUUCUUGCUGGAGAUUGGUAUUGUAGUGGUAUGAACUGUGGUUCUCACAACUAUGCAAGCAGAACAAGUUGCUAUCGAUGUGGUUCCGUAAAAAGUGAUUAUUAUGGUAUUGGCACAGGAAUGAUGGCACCAGCAGGUUAUGGAUAUGAUUCAAGUGUUCUUCCUGGUUGGAAGAGUGGUGAUUGGAUUUGCACCAGGUUAGUUUCACAUUUUUCAUUUUCCAUGCAAGUGACUUACUCUACGACAACAAAUUUGAUCGGCUAUAUGAAUCCUCAUUUUCCAUAUCGCUCCACUUAAGUUCAUCUUAAUCCAAUAUUAUAAGGUAUAGACCCCUGCAUUAAGCUCCCACGAUCCGCAGGAUCCAGUAAAUGGCCAAGCCAUAUAGUCUAUAGAGUCUUAUGUAUGCAGCCUCACCUUCCACAGAUUGAACUCAUGACGUCCUAGUCACAUUACGGAUAAUGUUACUGUUGCACCAAAGCUCCCCUUCACAUCGCAGUCCUAUGUUAUAUAAACCAAAAGUGAAUACCAAAAAUAAAAAGUACUAGAAGUCCUCGAUAUUUACUACGAGCAUAUUUAACUCACACAACUUCCUUCUUGAUCUACAGAAUAGGCUGUGGUAUGCACAACUAUGCCAGUAGAGCUGAAUGUUAUAAGUGCAAGACACCUAAGGAUUCUGGAGGUGACAUGAGAGAAAGUGAGUUGUAUUGAGGGACGCGGCGACAUUAAGUUUUUAUUGAAGAUUUACCUUCAGAG